CUUGGUCAUUUAGAGGAAGUAAAAGUCGUAACAAGGUCUCCGUUGGUGAACCAGCGGAGGGAUCAUUAGCGAGUUACCACAGAACUCCAAAACCCUUUGUGAACCUUACCGCAGUUGCCUCGGCGAGUGCUGCGGCUAUAUCCCCUGUCCCCCGCCCGUCAGGGCUGCGGGGCAGGCUCUAGCCGAUCCACCAGCCCGUCAAAGGACCCGCUAUCUAAACUCUAAAUUGACUACGUAACUUCUGAAAACUUCCAACUUGAAAUAAGUUAAAACUUUCAACAACGGAUCUCUUGGUUCUGGCAUCGAUGAAGAACGCAGCGAAAUGCGAUAAGUAAUGUGAAUUGCAGAAUUCAGUGAAUCAUCGAAUCUUUGAACGCACAUUGCGCCCACUAGUAUUCUGGUGGGCAUGCCUAUUCGAGCGUCAUUUCGACCCUUAAGCCCUGCGGCUUAGCGUUGGGAGUCCCCGCCCGGCACCGGGCGCGGUUCCCUAAAGUCAUUGGCGGCGUCGCAGCCCACUCUGAGCGUAGUAAUCUACUGUUUCUCGCUCCUGCAGUGGCCGCGGCUGGCUUGCCGUAAAACCCCCUAUAUGUCUUAGUGGUUGACCUCGGAUUAGGUAGGAAUACCCGCUGAACUUAAGCAUAUCAAUAAGCGGAGGA
rnacentral:rRNA from 1 species